rnacentral:rRNA from 1 species
AUUGAACGCUGGCGGUAUGCUUAACACAUGCAAGUCGAACGGUAACAGGCCUUCGGGCGCUGACGAGUGGCGGACGGGUGAGUAACGCGUAGGAAUCUGCCUCAUAGUGGGGGACAACGUGGGGAAACUCACGCUAAUACCGCAUACGCCCUACGGGGGAAAGCGGGGGAUCUUCGGACCUCGCGCUAUGAGAUGAGCCUGCGUUAGAUUAGCUAGUUGGUAGGGUAAAGGCCUACCAAGGCGACGAUCUAUAGCUGGUCUGAGAGGACGAUCAGCCACACUGGGACUGAGACACGGCCCAGACUCCUACGGAGGCAGCAGUGGGGAAUAUUGGACAAUGGGCGCAAGCCUGAUCCAGCAAUACCGCGUGUGUGAAGAAGCCUUAGGUGUAAAGCACUUUCAAUUGGGAGGAAAACCUG